rnacentral:rRNA from 1 species
AUUGAACGCUGGCGGCAUGCUUUACACAUGCAAGUCGAACGGUAACAGGCCGCCAGGUGCUGACGAGUGGCGAACGGGUGCGUAAUGCAUCGGAACGUGCCCAGUCGUGGGGGAUAACUACUCGAAAGAGUAGCUAAUACCGCAUACGAUCUAUGGAUGAAAGCGGGGGACCGUAAGGCCUCGCGCGAUUGGAGCGGCCGAUGUCAGAUUAGGUAGUUGGUGGGGUAAAGGCUCACCAAGCCAACGAUCUGUAGCUGGUCUGAGAGGACGACCAGCCACACUGGGACUGAGACACGGCCCAGACUCCUACGGGAGGCAGCAGUGGGGAAUUUUGGACAAUGGGCGCAAGCCUGAUCCAGCAAUGCCGCGUGCAGGAAGAAGGCCUUCGGGUUGUAAACUGCUUUUGUACGGAACGAAACGGCUCUGGUUAAUACCCGGGGCUAAUGACGGUACCGUAAGAAUAGGCACCGGCUAACUACGUG